AGGAAACAGAAACAGAAUGAAACGAAACAGAGAGCAGGGGAGAAAAAGAAAGAAAUAAAGGGAGAAAAGAGAAAAUUCAAGGUUUGAAGCUUUAAGCUUUAAUAGGUUAAGUUAAGGCUAGACCUUUGAAUUAGCAUCCCAGGCCGAUCCCGAAUUCAAUGAGGUAAAGUAUGUUGAGCAUUGGUAAUGGCAUGUACCUAGGAUGUUUUAUGAGAGUCAUCUAGGUUGUAGAAGUAUUGAUGAAAUGAGUAAAUUAUGGUUGGCAACGGUAUGUAGUAUGAAUUUUGAAAUUUACUAAAAA